AGAGUUUGAUCAUGGCUCAGAGCGAACGCUGGCGGCAGGCCUAACACAUGCAAGUCGAACGGAUCCUUCGGGAUUAGUGGCGGACGGGUGAGUAACACGUGGGAACGUGCCUUUUGGUUCGGAACAACUCAGGGAAACCUGAGCUAAUACCGGAUGUGCCCUUCGGGGGAAAGAUUUAUCGCCAUUAGAGCGGCCCGCGUCUGAUUAGCUAGUUGGUGGGGUAAAGGCCCACCAAGGCGACGAUCAGUAGCUGGUCUGAGAGGAUGAUCAGCCACACUGGGACUGAGACACGGCCCAGACUCCUACGGGAGGCAGCAGUGGGGAAUCUUGCGCAAUGGGCGAAAGCCUGACGCAGCCAUGCCGCGUGAAUGAUGAAGGUCUUAGGAUUGUAAAAUUCUUUCACCGGGGACGAUAAUGACGGUACCCGGAGAAGAAGCCCCGGCUAACUUCGUGCCAGCAGCCGCGGUAAUACGAAGGGGGCUAGCGUUGCUCGGAAUUACUGGGCGUAAAGGGAGCGUAGGCGGAUAGUUAAGUCAGAGGUGAAAGCCCAGGGCUCAACCUUGGAAUUGCCUUUGAUACUGGCUAUCUUGAGUAUGGGAGAGGUGUGUGGAACUCCGAGUGUAGAGGUGAAAUUCGUAGAUAUUCGGAAGAACACCAGUGGCGAAGGCGACACACUGGCCCAUUACUGACGCUGAGGCUCGAAAGCGUGGGGAGCAAACAGGAUUAGAUACCCUGGUAGUCC
rnacentral:rRNA from 1 species